GCGGGUGUAACUCAGUGGUAGAGUGCUUGCUUCCCAAGCAAGUUGUCGUGGGUUCGAGUCCCAUCACCCGCU
rnacentral:tRNA from 3 species